UUUGAUCCUUUCAAAAAUUAUGCUAUAACAUACAGUGUAUGCUGUGUGAUCUAUUUAUGUAUAUCACAUAUUUAAGGAUGCAGCAUACUCUGUGGGGUUAUAGUUUCUUUUGCGCGUUGCAAACAUGGAAGUCUUAAUAAUGGAUUCUUUAUGCAUCGUGUAAAGUUUUGUAAAGGGGAUUUGUUGCACACAUAGUGAGCAUUUAAAAUAUCCCUCAUUAUCCUUUCGUUCAUGAAAGAGAUAUGGUGUGGUUGCUUUUGUAAUUGCAGCUACUAUAUAUAUCUCGUUAAAAAGUGGACGGGAAUGCACAGAUGAGGAAGAGGAUAUUAUAAUAUCUAAAUCUUUGUUUGUGCAGGAAUAUACUGAGUGAUGUUUUAUGCUCUAAUUGGAUAGUGUGUAAUGAGUGUGACCCCUUUUAUAUAUAUGAUUUUUGUCCUAGACCUGAAAUCAGA
rnacentral:misc_RNA from 1 species